AAAGUAACUAGGUUGUGAUACACUAUCAUCAAGAAACCACCAGAGGUCCAACUGUCACAGCAAGAAGGGCACCGAACAUGAUAUGUUCACACACUCCCUAUAUCCCCAAUAUCUUGAUUCCAAAGGGGGACAAUUUUUAUUUCACCAUGUUUGCAAUUUCUAAAUAAAGGUGUCGUAACCUUGAAAGAUUCUGAUACGCACUUACCUUUAAGUCAAUUUAACUUUCCACUUUAAUGCAAUAGAAGCUUUACAGUUACCUCCCAUGUUUUCAGUAAAACAACUAUAAGUAUGAGAUCAUUCUUGAAGUCAAAAUUUGUGGUCCACAAUCAAAGGAGAGAAAACCCGAAGACUUAAAGGGCCAGGGGUCCUUUGUUUGGUUGCGAGGCCUCGGCUCGACGGUUCUCAGGGGAACAAGAGGAACAUUUGAGUCUGAGCACUUAUGAACAGUCCGGCCCUUAAAAGCAGGCUGCUCCCAUACCUGUGUGUGCGUGUGUGUCUGUAUUUGUGUGCGUGUCACCUUGUCCUUGGUUUGAGGGAAUACAUCCCUGCAGUGAUAAAUGUCUGUUUCGGGGCACUUUUAGUGGACUCUGUGUCUUCCAAAAGUUAAGUAGCUCAACAAAACUUUGAAGACCAUGACAUUGAUUUAACCAAAGAAUAAUUUAGACAAAACCUUGGGAUUCAGUUUCUUUUCAUUUCAGUUAAACACAAAAAAAUCAAAGAAGAAGAAGAAUGUAUUGGUUCAAAGUUUGUUGCUGCUCAUUUUUAAUGUAAAACAAACAACGCUUUGGUUGGGUAAAGUUUUUAUUUCUAUAUAUUUUGUUUUAACUAGGACGAAAAACUAUAGGAAAAAUCUUUGUCCUUGAUAUAUGUCUUAUUUCUCAGCUCAUUAAAGUUUAGUCUGUGAUUCA